rnacentral:rRNA from 1 species
GACGAACGCUGGCGGCGUGCCUAAUACAUGCAAGUCGAACGCGUCUCCGUUGAUGAUUUUAGGUGCUUGCACUUGAAAGAUUUAACAUUGAGACGAGUGGCGAACUGGUGAGUAACACGUGGGUAACCUGCCCUUGAAGUAGGGGAUAACACUUGGAAACAGGUGCUAAUACCGUAUAACAACCAAAACCACCUGGUUUUGGUUUAAAAGACGGCUUCGGCUGUCACUUUAGGAUGGACCCGCGGCGUAUUAGCUUGUUGGUAAGGUAACGGCCUACCAAGGCGAUGAUACGUAGCCGACCUGAGAGGGUAAUCGGCCACAUUGGGACUGAGACACGGCCCAAACUCCUACGGGAGGCAGCAGUAGGGAAUCUUCCACAAUGGACGAAAGUCUGAUGGAGCAACGCCGCGUGAGUGAUGAAGGGUUUCGGCUCGUAAAACUCUGUUGUUGGAGAAGAACAGGUGUCAGAGUAACUGUUGACAUCUUGACGGUAUCCAACCAGAAAGCCACGGCUAACUACGUGCCAGCAGCCGCGGUAAUACGUAGGUGGCAAGCGUUGUCCGGAUUUAUUGGGCGUAAAGCGAGCGCAGGCGGUUUUUUAGGUCUGAUGUGAAAGCCUUCGGCUUAACCGGAGAAGUGCAUCGGAAACCGGGAGACUUGAGUGCAGAAGAGGACAGUGGAACUCCAUGUGUAGCGGUGAAAUGCGUAGAUAUAUGGAAGAACACCAGUGGCGAAGGCGGCUGUCUGGUCUGUAACUGACGCUGAGGCUCGAA